AAAGGAAUAGACGGGGACCCGCACAAGCAGUGGAGUAUGUUGCUUAAUUCGACGCAACGCGAAGAACCUUACCAAGGCUUGACAUCCUACUAACGAAGUAGAGAUACAUUAGGUGUCCUUUUAGGAAAAGUAGAGACAGGUGGUGCAUGGUUGUCGUCAGCUCGUGUCGUGAGAUGUUGGGUUAAGUCCCGCAACGAGCGCAACCCUUGUGGUUAGUUGCUACGCAAGAGCACUCUAGCCAGACUGCCGUUGACAAAACGGAGGAAGGUGGGGACGACGUCAAAUCAUCAUGCCCUUUAUGUCUUGGGCUGCAAACGUACUACAAUGGCGAUCAACAGAGGGCUGCGACCCCGCGAGGGUGAGCCAAUCCCCAAAAGUCGCCCCAGUUCAGAUUGCAGGCUGCAACCCGCCUGCAUGAAGCCGGAAUUGCUAGUAAUCGCAGAUCAGCAUGCUGCGGUGAAUACGUUCCCGGGUCUUGUACACACCGCCCGU
rnacentral:rRNA from 1 species